AGCGCUCUUCCAUCGCUGCGCUCCGGUUUGGUUGGCGCUCAGCGCCCGCCUCUCUCGGCGGCCUCACGCCAUUGGUCAGCGUCAGCGGGAGGAGGCGGGUUUUGUGCCCGUCGCGGUUCACGAGAGGGCGAGGAGCCCAUCAAUCAGAAGAGCUUUUCGAUGAUCAGUUUUCAACAUUGUCUCAUCAUCUCCAACUCAAAGAUACUCACACCUACAGUAAAGAAUAACCAACUCCUUAUGGUGGGUAAUGCAAUAAGACUCUGGGACCUGGCAAAACUCCUCUGUGUUCAUCAUCUGGCUUGCCAGGCAAGGCCAAAAGCAAACUGGGAUAUCCAGUACUACAGAUCCAGAUAAAAAGAAAAAAAUAAGAGAACCCUGAGAUAAAUCUGAGUCAUCUGAAGCGCAGCUGAGAAAACAGAGAAGUGUCUGAACUCAAAACAGCACUCCCUAGUUGCUAACACGGGGAUGAUUAACAAAGAUGGACAACAGCAUUAUAGUCACUUUGGGCAGCUGAAGCUGACCACGUAAGUGCAGCAUACCAAGUCAGGCGAGGAAGGGGCAUAAAAUUUGCCCUCUGAAAAAAAAAGAGAAGAAACACCCCUCACUUGCAGAAAGAAAAUUCUGACUGGGAAAUACCAGGGAGCUUGUAUGAAAAGCAGUAAGACAAACAGAUCUGAUCUCUUUGUGGCCCAUGUCAAAAUUCCUCUGGAUGGCAGCAAGACUGGGAUCCAACUGGAAUCACGCAGAUGCAGCUGCCAGGAAACACGAGUAACCUGUGUGCAUGACUACCUUUGUGUUUACACUUCGUGCAUCUUCCAGCAAUGCACCUCUUUUUGGGACAGGGCAGUUUUUAAGUCUGAUCCUCUCAGUGUGCUGCUGGUUGUGCACCCACACAAACGGGGGAACCAGCUGGACACAGGUCUCGCCAACUCUUUCUGAGAUGUGUUGCAGAUGGAGCACAGAGACUCUCAGACUCUAAGGUGAUAUAUGAAUCCUGAGGCAAAAGAAGACCUGAACCCAAACAAUCAACUGAGGCUUUUACCAUCUGACCAACUUCCUCUACAGUCUUACUGGAUGAUAAUGAAAAAUAAGUGGUUCAUUUCACCAAUAAUCUAAUAAUACAGAAUUUGUAUUAUAUGCAUAUGCGUACACAUGCAAAAGAUAGAAAUUUGUUUGUAUUUUUUUAGGUAAUAUUUAUGACCUAAUGACUUUUUAUGUAAUAUAUGCACUGCUUCUGUAGAUACAAAUUAUAGAUAGACAUAUGCUUUUAAAAUGUGCUAGUAUGACACUUGUAUGACAUGUCUCUCAAUGAAGAAUUAAUAUUUCUUACUUUUUUUCUCCUUUCAUUUCUCAUUGCAAUGCACAAGAAAGCAGUUUCAGCUUAUUUUGGCGGAGGUGCACUUAGAAAUGUGUAGCGUUUAUUUGCAGUACUGCUCUCACAAAAUGUUGCCAUGCUGUGGCACUUCUUUGAAGUUCUUCUCUGAAAGGUUCUUUGCAAAGGCUGUGUAGGAGGCUUUGCAACCGGGAGGUUUGGAAUUGUUUUUCUGAAAAUUAUUCUGAAAAGUCUGUCCUUUUCAAGGUCUUGGCCAGGUGCACAGCUAUUUUCCUCUUUCCAUUUCCUUUAACUCUGCAGCACAGAAUAAUAGGCCCUAUCUGAAAUUUUAUAUAUGUAAUGCAUUGCAGACUCUGCCACAUACUUCCCUUUUCAGCAGGCUUAUUGAACACCAAGGCACUUGCAGUGAUUCUUCUGUCAGCCUAACAUUCAGUCUCUCAGAGAUCAGCCAAACGUAGGGACCAGUUCUACCACCACCACGCUCAUGGUGCUUUCUUUACAUUACAUUCCCAAACGUCAAUGGAUCUCUCAUAAAUUGCUAUGAUCUGUGUCAAGAUAGAGUUCUCAGCAUGUGUCUCAUGCUCACCUGCAUCACCAAACAGCCUCACAAGGAAGGUGUCUCCAUGAAUACUGACCAGCCAGCAACAGCACUGCAGCCAUUCCCCUGAGAGAAAGCUCCCUCCAGUUUUGACCACUGCCACAGAAAGGAGAACGAGAGCCCCCAACGCACUCCAAUGCUAUUCUGCAUGGGAACUCAGCUCAUCACGACACAGAAGAAGAAACACUAGAAACUGACUUGAAACCAGUGCUCUUCACUGUGUUGUCAAGCACAUGUGUCACUAGGCUGGUAGAUUAAACCUAUGUCCAUAAUGAAGAGGAGGAGCCAAGUGGUCCACCAGUAAAGAUCCCAGUCUGCUUCAGUUGGUUCCUUUCCUGAUGGAUGCCACAAAUAUCCUGCACAGAACACAGCACAGACCACGUUAAUGCAGCACACCAGGGUGGCAGUGGCACUCUUCUAAGGCUGUUCCUCCAGGAAGCUCACCAACAUCCUUGCAGGAUCAGUCUGAAGCUACGCUUUGACACUUUGCCUUUUGCAUAGAGAGGCGGCCCUAAGGUUUUUGCAUACAUUGAUACGUACAUGAAAAAGCAGAUACUUGCCCUAGUCCCAGGCACUUGCAGUAAAGAUCCAUAGAGAACUUGAAUAAUCAUAAUUUCUUAGUGCAUUAAAGAGUUCAGACUACAGAAAGAAGACAUUUCCGAGAAACAGAUUUUAUAGACUGAGCUGAACAGAUUUUUGGCAUUAUUUGUAAGCCAGUCAUUGUUAAGCCUUUGUACUUAGAAGAGCAAUUAUGACUCCUUUGGAAACAUCCUUAGUUGAACUCUUAAAAUAAUAAAAACACUCCUCCGUAAGACCACAUUAACAUAUGGUUUUCGUAAUGACAGCACAAACAAAUCACCCACUCAUCAAACACAUUUAGGAAGAAGACAGGAACAAACAGAGCAAAAAUUUUCUAAAGAUUACUUAGAGGUCCUGAUCAGUCAGGGAAAAAAAGAAAAGAAAAAAGUGAACUAAACUGAAUUCAGGUCCUGACUAUAGGAUAUUGAAUACAGACAAAAUAUGCAACAUACAAAUAACCAAAAUCAAGAAUACCACUAAACUUUGUAAGGCAAAAUUUAUAGAUAUUAAGCUGCAAAACUGUAUUUCAAAAAAAUGUCAAGCUGUGGAUGCCUAGCUUCCUAGUUUACUUUUGAACGUUGGUGAUGCAUCAUCAGUAAGCAAGAAAGAGACAAGGUGUGUUUGCACCAGUGACCAGCUGGAAUACCUUUGCUGGACUUACCACCCCCCAGUACUUUGCAGGCAAGUCCCAGCCAAACCAUAGUCUUCACUACAUGCACUGCUUCAUCCCCAGGAGCAGCAGCAGGAACCUGCAUCCUUGAAGCACAUGUGCAUCUUCCUGGGGCUGAGCACCGGGAACAACUGGGCUACCAGCAGUGGCCAGCACAGCUCCCGUGCAGCUCCCUGUAACACCAUCAGCAUGACCUCAGUGCAGAGGAAAAGGAGAGCAAACAAGAUCCACAUUCAAAAUGGAGUUUGUAGUCUGACAGACACCCGGUGUGAGCCUUCACUGUGAAGCGGUUCAAAAAAUGAGCAUGAGCAAAUCCCUCUAAGGAGUGUUUUUGCCUACGUGUAGUUCUGUUGUUUUUGCUAGCUCUCUUCCACAUGAAUCUGUGUCUUGUGAAUAGAAGAAUGGAUGAGAUAACUCCAUGCACUCAUUUUGAUUCCAUUUGGGAAAGGGGCCAAGCAGGUCUUUCAUGCUUGCCACCCCCCUGGAACAGAAUCACUGAACAUCCCAAGUUGGAAAACACCCACAAGGAUCAUUGAGUCCAACCCCUGGUUCCAGAUAGGACCAGCCAAAAUCAAACCCUAUGUCUGAGAGCACUGUCCAGACACUCCCUGAACUCCGGCACUGGGGGCCGUGCCCACAUCCCUGGGCAGCCCGUUCCAUGCCCACCGCCCUGUGGUGCAGCCCCUGUCCCUAACCCCCAGCUGCCCCUCCCCUGACACAGCUCCAUGCCGUUCCCUCGGGCCCUGUCGCUGUCACACAGAGCAGAGCUCAGCGCUGCCCCUCCGCUCCCUGUGAGGAGCUGCAGCCGCCAUCAGGCCUCCCCUCAGCUCCUCUGCUCUGCGCUGAGCACACCGAGGGGCCUCAGCUGCUCCUCACACACCUUGCCCUCAGAGCCUUCUCCAUCGUUGUAGCCCUCCUUUGGAUGCUCUCUAAUAGUUUUAUGUCCUUAGAUUUUGGCAUCCAAACCCGCACCCAGUGCUGGAGGUGAGGCUACACAGCACAGAGCAGAGGGGACGCCCAGCUGGGCCUGGUGCACCCCAGGUACUGGGCAAAGGGCCAACCUAUUCACUCGUUAGAACAGGUCUAAAUAAUGAGGGCUGAACCGGAGCUCCUGCUACCAUAUCCUGACUGUUGCAGAGGUCUGUAGGACUGCGCAGAUGGUAGUAGCACUGGGAAAUAUGUGGUAAUAAAACUUGUGUAGAUAGAGCCAGAGUGUCUUGAGUUAAUGGUAGGAAGAGGAAUUAGGUUUCCUCCUCCAAUCCUUAGCCAAGCCAUUUUCAGAUUUAAUCAAGAUCAGCAUUUCUGCUGCUACCAACAUUUAGUUCAGAAUUACAUCCCAGUUUUCUUCAGCAGGCAACACUGCCUCUGUCUCACCAUUUGCUCAAUGCUCUUCACGGUAGUGCUUGGUCCCAUAGCUCUCACCUUCAUGUUCUGCAGAAACCACUGUCGAGUCCUUGAAAGCACCAUAAGUGCUGAAGUUGAUCAGUGCUGAGGAGUCAUGGUGAAGGGAAUGCUUCCACAAUAAUAAUAAUAAUAAUAAUAAUAAUAAUAAUAAUAAUGAAAAACAGAGGGAAAAGAUGAACAUUAUCUGCCUUUGAACAGUUUUAUCAGAGGCAAUUGCUGCUUUCAAUUUUUGUCCAUCUGUGUUACCAUUUUAUCACAUACCAACAUCUGAGUAUUGAAAAAUGAGAAAAAUUAACAGUGCUCCUGGAAACAAUGCUGUCAUAUAGUCUACUUCAUUAUUGUUGAGCUUUGAAAGGUAACUAAAUGGCAGUCGAUCCUCUGGGGAAAUUCUUGAGAAAUAAUCUUUAUUAUAAAGGAAUGAGUUAAGUUGUACUUGCUGUUGCAUUGUGAAGUUAAGAAAAGUCCUGGUGAUAAAGUGCCAUAGCUCUUCAUGAGUGCCACAGGGAACGCACCUCUUAUUUGUCAGUCUCUCUCCCCACUUGCCAGGGGCCUAGAUUUUCACAAGAGAAUUACCCCUGCAAAGCAGGGGGGAUUGCAGAGCUGCUAAAGCAAGUUAGUCCUUUGGCCAGAGAAAUGUUAUUUUGAGCUCACCAUAUAGGAAGGAGACGCAACCACCCUGAGUGAGGCAGCUGGCAGUGGUCCUGUGCUCCAGAAGUCCCACAUUUGACUGUGCUGACCACACACAUUUUUUCAGUUAUCAGGAGGAAAUUCACUUAGUGUUACUUCAGCCAAGAAGAGGAACCCCAGAAGAAGCUUUAGGAGGACUCUUCAGAAGCUUGAGGGUUAUGUGAAUGUAUCCUGCUGCAGCCUUACCUGCCACUUAGCACUGGCUUUGUUUAAUAAUUAAAUUGCAGGCGCUGUGGACUCAGCACAUGUUGCUUUGGAGAUGCCUUUGGUUCUUACCUGUGCAGUGAGAAGUUUUUAAACAUUCUUUAUGAGGCUUUGUCUUUUCAUACAUUUUUGUUUGAUCCUUCAGCAAGAGACAGUUUAAACUACUACUGCUUAAUCUUUACGACAGCCAUCCGCUCUCCACCCUUUCUUCCUCGCCUCCAAUAUGGUUUGUGGUGGGAACUCUGAUUUCAUUAGGAUAACAAAUUAAAAUGAAAGAGACUGUUAUAGAAUGAGAGAAUACAAAAUGGAAAUGCAGAAUUUAUAUGGUGAUCCUAAUACAGAAAAAAAUAAAUCAUAAGUAAAUAACAUUUUUCAAAGUUAAGAAAAGUGACAAAGGAAGUUUGAAGACAUUCAGCACACACAAAAAAAACAAACAUCAGAAGUCUCAUUUGGAGAUGGCACUAGACAAAAGAAUAGGUAUUUCUUAGUAUAAUACCUACAGAGAAGAGGAUUGCCAUUUUAACAUCUUCCCAGUGCAUCACAGAUUGGAUUAUGGCACUGCUCUGCCAAGUCAUCAAGAGCUGGGAUAACUCCUGAUGGAAGCAUUUACUUCUGCUCCAAAAAUCACCUGCUUACAGAAGAGUCAUCAUCCCUUCCUCCAGUGCCUGGAGCCACUGGGGUGUCUGAAGGUUAGCAGCUCUCCACUCUCUUACUCCUUGAGUAAGGAGUGAGUUGGUUGUUGUGUUGUGGGGUUUUUUUAUUGUUUGCAAGCUCAGUAUCCCAUGUAUGUUCUCUUGCAAGCUGUGACAGUGAAGUUACCUAUUACAGGUGCUUGAUCAAAUGAUGAAUACACAGGCUGAACUCGCAGUCAUGAAUUAUAGAGCAAAGAAAGAUUUUUUUUUUUUCUUUUGAUCCUCCUUAUGCUCCAAGGAAACUCUUUGCUUCUAAAGAGCUUUUAAAGGUGAACUCAAAAUGUGGCCAGAGUUUAAACUGCUUAACUUUCUUUGAAAAACUGUUCCCUGCAGAUAGCUUGAAGAAAGCACCUCUGAGCAUUUAAUUUGACUGGAUUUUAGGGGGAAGGGGGAUUAUACAGCUACUGAGCUUCAAUAAUAUGUGAUCUUCUCAGGAAGGUCUAACAUGAUUACGCAAACAUCACAUUGGUGCUGGCCAAAAGCCCUCCAAAGCACACUGAAUUGCUGGAGUCAUGAGGUUUCCCUGUCUUUGCACAGAUUGUGAGGUUUGCAGGAGGCAAGAGUAAUCCUGAUGGCACUGUCCAUACUGGCAUCAAGCUGAUCUCACAGGCAGUGCCAGCAGACCCUGUGCAGCCAUACGGCAGGCUCAGCAGCCACCCUAUAGCAUCUGAGGACCUGGCAGAACCAAGCACCCUGCUCGUGGCUGCAGGAGACCUCUUGCACCCUCCACAGUUGACGCCUUCCCACCACAGCUGUCAAUUUCCUGUGUUGGGAACUGGGUGCAUCCUGUCCCCAGAAGAGAGGUACCAGAAUACCCAACCUGCUGAAAAGUCUUAUUCUGGCUGCUUUCCCAAAUCCUUCCUUUCGUCUUGUUACCUGGCCAUGACGCAGCAAAAGUAGGCAAAAGGAUACAAAGCUGCCUGGUGUGCAUGUGUGGUACAUGCAGGUGGGAUCCAAAACAAAUUCAAGGAAGGUCAUGCAAAAAGUGCUGCAAAGGCUUGUGAAACAGGCAACACGAAUGCACCUGAUAUGAUGUGUGGGUAUCCUAAGAGUACAGCACUAAGGGGCAUGGCCAAGAGAAGCAUGCAGAUGUGUUACCAACAAGCAGGAUGAGCCCCAUGGUCAGGGGGACCUCGUGAUAGAGGCAUUAGGUUUGAUGUAGUUGGGCAGCUAACUACAUAGAAUCAUAGUCCCAUGUCCCUCAGUGCCACAUCUCCUCAUUUCCUGAACAGUUCUGGGUACAGUGACUCCAUCACCUCCCAGGGCAGGCAGCAUGAGAUAAAGACACAGAUAACAGAUAGAUAACAAGAUGACACCUAGGCUUCACACCAAAUUCAGCAGUUUGUCAAGGUACACUGAUGUGUUUGAUAAGACAAACUCCACUCAACAAGCAAACCAGUGCUUCUAGACUAGUUUCAAUCUCCAAGCUCAUGCAAACAAAAGUUGCAUGUGGAAUAUAAUGCAGUUGCUAAUACUAAUCUUUAAAAAAGCAUUGAUAAUAUAAACCUCUUAACUCUGAAGGGAAAAUGACAAAAUUGUUGUAUGAGGAAAAUUAUCUGAGAACUGCUCCUGCAUGUUUAUUUAAAAAGAGUGAAAACAAAUAUUAUGAAUUUGAACAACAGAAAUUAGAAAAAUAUCUAAGGCAGCAGGCUCAUGCAAUCCCAGCUCAAUCUUCUGCUUUCCUCCCUUGCCAGAAAGGCAUCUGAGUUGUAAUUCUUGCACAGGCUUAAGAUUGUCUGUCAGGCACUGGAUAAGAAAUGUCAAAGUAUGGGAUGAGACACAAAAGAAGGUUUAAAGGUGGCUAUGAUGACCAUACUGAAAAUCUCUUCUACAGCCUUGUUUACACAGUGAACGAGGGAAACAGAAGGUUGCAGCAGCUACAUAGGGUGCACUGAGGUAGAAGAGUAAAUAAUCAUAAAAAUCUUAUGGGAUCUCCCUGAGAGAGAGAAAUGGAGCCACUGAAAGCCAGACAUACAAACUGCUGUAGGGUUUGCAACUGCGUCAACACUUGUGAAAGUGAAAACAACCGAUAGGUCUGACUGUGUUAGUCCAAGCGCCUUCUCUGUUCUCAUUCAGAUCAUCUGCUACGGGAAUCAGCAUCAUGGAUGCAUAGACUCAGGGAUAAACUCAGACCAAGAAGAGUGAGGAAGACCCAAAAUAUCUCGGUAAAGGAAACAUUUCUGCCAUGUCCAGUCUUGGCUUCAUGAGAGGACACUGGAAGGCAGUUGUUUUUUUUUUUUUUUUUUACUUUUGUUGCAGCUUUUCACUGCUAUUUAUAAGGACUGCACAACAUACUCCAAACUCUUCUUUCAACAACCUGCUAAUGUUAGGGGAAGAAAAAAAAAUUCAUUUAGGAAUAAAAGCCAAAAAGCUUUUCGUUAUUGAUCAGGAAUUCAAUCAAGUAACAUCAUCAACAGCAAAAAAAAAAAAGUAUGUGCUUAAACAUGAACAGUCCAAAGAUGUUAGUUGUCUGUCAAAACAAAUUGUCAGACAUAUUUGUGUUCUACACAGGAAUAGAUUUAUUGAAAAUCUUAAGUGGAAUGUUUGUUUCCACCAUCUACCAAAUAAUGUUCUGUGGGGUUUUGUUCUGAGUACUGAGCAGCUGCAUCGGAAACUUUUUAAUUCAGGGAAGAGUGGCAGUUCCUUUUUGUCUUCUGUGUACCAGCUCUUAGGAAUUCCAGGAAAACUCUAUAAUCCCCAGCUCUCUCUGGCAUGCCACCACCUGAUCAUCACGAUCGCAAACAUUUGUAAUAAAAAUCAGUUAAUAUGCAAGCCACUAUUUUAUAUGCUAUCAUCAAUCCCAGAGGUGGUUUAAGAAGUACCUUCAUGUAGAACCUAUGUUUUUUUUUUUAUUCUUUUUGUGUCUGUUAAGGCUGGUAUAAUCACGAGGUUAAUUAGAAUCUUAAAUGCUUAGUUCCCAUGUUAAGAGAUUUGUCUCUAUUUAAAAAAAAAACAACGUCACAACAAGGGAAAAUGUAGGGUUUUUUUAAUUAUAACUGGCCAUUUUGAAGAAAAUGUCUUGUAUAUUGGAAGCACGAGAGCCCAAAUGAGAGCCUAUAAACAUUUUAAAUAGGAAGUUUCCAAUUUUAUUAUUUAUAACACUUGAACUCCUUUACUUUCAAGACGUUCAUAUUACCACAAAGCUCCUGAAGCCAUAUUUAUCAGGCCAUCUACUUCUAUGUUAUUAGUAUAAAGAUUGUACAGAACUGCACACAAUAAAAAACUAAUAAAAAAACAGUAAAAUAACACUGUGUGGCUU
ensembl:lncRNA